rnacentral:rRNA from 1 species
UAGCACAGAGAGCUUGCUCGUUGGGUGGACGAGUGGCGGACGGGUGAGUAAUGUCUAGGGAAACUGCCUGAUGGAGGGGGAUAACUACUAGGAAACGGUAGCUAAUACCGCAUAACGUCGCAAGAACCAAAGAGGGGGACCUUCGGGCCUCUUGCCAUCAGAUGUGCCCAGAUGGGAUUAGCUAGUAGGUGGGGUAACGGCUCACCUAGGCGACGAUCCCUAGCUGGUCUGAGAGGAUGACCAGCCACACUGGAACUGAGACACGGUCCAGACUCCUACGGGAGGCAGCAGUGGGGAAUAUUGCACAAUGGGCGCAAGCCUGAUGCAGCCAUGCCGCGUGUAUGAAGAAGGCCUUCGGGUUGUAAAGUACUUUCAGCGAGGAGGAAGGCGAUGCGGUUAAUAACCGUGUCGAUUGACGUUACUCGCAGAAGAAGCACCGGCUAACUCCGUG